rnacentral:rRNA from 1 species
UACGUAGGGUGCGAGCGUUGUCCGGAAUUAUUGGGCGUAAAGAGCUCGUAGGCGGUUUGUCACGUCUGCUGUGAAAUCCCGAGGCUCAACCUCGGGCCUGCAGUGGGUACGGGCAGACUGGAGUGCGGUAGGGGAGAAUGGAAUUCCUGGUGUAGCGGUGAAAUGCGCAGAUAUCAGGAAGAACACCCGUGGCGAAGGCGGUUCUCUGGGACGGUACUGACGCUGAGACGCGAAAGCGUGGGGAGCGAACAGG